AAAAGAAACUGAACAUGCCAUGGCAGUCCGCCGCCGUUCAUAAGCCGCCGCCGGUGAAUUCGACCGGAACAACCCUGCCACGAGCACCCCUUCCCACGCCCCUGCUUCUCUGCGGCAGACCUUCGUGGAUCCUACCAGUCUACCGCACCACCACGGCCUCCGCUCGCUCCUGCGACAUUAUCCCCAGUCCACCACAAGCGCCCCUCCAGCAAUGGCCGCACCCGCCGCCCCGGUGGGGGGUAUCUAGCCUGCGGUCGCCGGUUCGUCUGCGGGCUUAAAUCUGGUCCGGUAUGCGCAAAAACUGGCUGCCUGGAUCGAGCAGCCUCUAGUCCACUUCACUGUGAGCGACUACCAAAUCUUCCUGUUGGAGCACACAGAAAUUCUACAGUAGAGUUUGCUCUGGGGGAAGGGAGUGAUACUAAGAAUGACUGAAGUUGGCUCUUGCCAUGACGAAUGGCAGAAAUGAUAGUGGGGGAAUACUUGCACUAUUAAAGGACAGCAGAUAGAAGACACUGAAGACAAGUAUUGCCUGUGACAUGACACUGUAAUGACCGCCUGGAGUAUGGGGAAAACAGUGUUUGCAUUUUUAAAGGACGGGUAGAAGGCACUCAAGACAAGUAUUGGCAGUGACACGACGCUGUAAUGACCCCAUGGAGCAUGGUGAGUAACAGAUGAUAUCCUUUCUCCAUCUAAAAGUUUUUUUUUUCAGCAGGGAUAUGACCAGGGAGAUAUAGCACCACUUGAUGC